rnacentral:rRNA from 1 species
UACAGAGGUCUCAAGCGUUUGUUCGGAUUCAUUGGGCGUAAAGGGUGCGUAGGCGGCGCGGUAAGUCGGGUGUGAAAUCUCGGAGCUUAACUCCGAAACUGCAUUCGAUACUGCCGUGCUUGAGGACUGGAGAGGAGACUGGAAUUUACGGUGUAGCGGUGAAAUGCGUAGAUAUCGUAAGGAAGACCAGUAGCGAAGGCGGGUCUCUGGACAGUUCCUGACGCUGAGGCACGAAGGUCAGGGGAGCAAACGGG